rnacentral:tRNA from 1 species
GCCGGGGUGGCCGAGCAGCUAGGCGGCGGCCUGCAGAGCCGCUCUACUCGGGUGCAAAUCCCGACCCCGGCU